UCCCGGUUCUAGAUGGGUGCAGCGGCUGGCCUGAGUAGCCUCUGAGUCGCCCCUCCCCCGCUGUGUCAGGCAGCCCCGGGUGACAGUCUGGCAUCAGCUCUGGUGACGCCUCCUGGCAGGGCUUUGGGCCUCGGCGUCCAACUGAGGCCCAGGAACCCCCAUGGUGCGUGCAUCCUGCCUGGGGUGUCUGUGCGCGCCUGGGGGUGUGGGGAGCGCGGGGCGGCCGCGCCUUCCCGCUGGGGCUGAGCGUGCACGCCGCGGAUGAAUCCUGAACCAGCUGCAGAGCAGAGGGGUCGAAGAAACAGGCAUCUCCACCGAAGGGGCUGCAGGCAGCUCGGCUGACUGCCCCCCCCCCCCAACCGCGCGGCGCGAGGUGGCCCGGGAGCCCCGCCAGGAGCCCCCGCCCCUCAGGCGGAGCUCGGGUCCUGGCAAUCUCUGCACUUUGUCAUCACGCCCCAGUAUUUGACAUUCGCAAUUAUCUGCAAAUACCCUGAUCGGUUUGUAUAUGAAACACUUUUUUUCCUGCCUUAAGGUUGGAAUCUGGUAAGUUUCAGACAAGUGGUUGCGGGGGGGAGGGGACCCGGGGGACCGCGGGGGGACCGGCCCGGUGAACCCGGCUCGGCUAGGUGGGCGACGAGGAGGGACGGAUCUGCGGGCCGCCCCCUCUUCCCCCGGCCCUAAUCAGAUGCAAGGCCACACGGAGCUCAGGAAGGGCCAAGGCCGAGACCCUCGGGUCCUCUUUGGAAAGGGGCGCCCCCUAAUCCCCGUGGGAGAAAAGGUGAGGGGAGAGUGGAGAUCCCACCGGGGCCAGCCCAGGGGUUAAUCAUCUGGAUAAUCGGGAAAGGGCGCUGCCCGGCCUGGUCGCUGUCACCGAGAGUGUCAGUCACCAGCUCUCGACCCGCCGCAGAAAUUACCUGCUCCAAGAGACAUCCCACGGAGCCCUCCGCACUGAGCUGUCCCCGCCCGCUGUCUGCGGGAAGCAAACCGCGCCCUCGUUCAAAAGAAGCGGAUGCCCCUUUGACCCUCCUCCUCCCCCAGACGGUUCCCAAAUCCAGAAGGGCAGUGCCGGCUCGGGAUCGCUCCCAACUCCUACAGCGCAGCUCCAGCUUCCGGGCUACCUGCCUAUUACACAGUCCGUCUACCAAAAGGAAAAAAAAAGUGGUGGUGGAGGCGAGGUAGGAUAAAGGAGUGAAAUUACGUGUCUGCUUUUUCUGCUGCUUUAGGAGCCUGAUCCUGGCCCCUGGCUCAUCCGAAGGGCCUCGAGCCCACACACUGGGAGGCCAGCGCUUCCUGGCGGGGGUGCGGUGCACACAGCCUGGGUGCUCCGGGGCUCCCCGUCUUGCUGGCCACCAAGCCCAGCUACUUUUGCUACGGGGACCCCAGUAACUUGAGAAACACCAAAACGUCCAGGGAAGCCUCCUCACCUCUCACUCAAGUUGCGGCUCUGCUGCAGACACUGGGCUAAGCUGCUUCUCACACAUGAUCACUCACAUUUUCGGGGAAAGUGGGAGGAGGAGCAGGUUAGAGAAAGCGCCCCCAGCCCAAUUCGCCCCGACUGGGAACCCACGGGGUGCUGAACAGACGUCAGCUCUCUCUGCUCCUGCUCAGUCCCCGCGGGCAAGGAAGCGCCAGCGGCUGGAGAAGGUGGUUUCGGUCUCCCGUGGGUGCCCCUGACCCGAGGGGGCACCACACAGCCGAGGCAGCUGAGGUCGCAGCCGAAGUCACCUUCUCUCCGCACAGGAAAAUGCUCGUUCCCCGGGCCGAGCGCUUCCGCCGCGCGCUGAUCCCACCCGCCAAGCCCCGAAGGAGCCGGCGGCGCAGCGGCCCAGGCCCGGCCCCAGCACUGCUCCGGACUCCCGGUAGGGGGAGCCUCCCCGGGCGCGGGGCCAGCCCGGGUCCCGGCCUCCCCGCUCGGCCUCGC